ensembl:lncRNA
CGGUGAAGCAUGGUGGUGGAAGCAUCAUGCUUUAGGGCUGCAUUUCUUCAGCCAGAACUAUGGAUUUUAUCAAGGUGGAUGCUAUCAUGAAUAGGUCUACUAGUUUACUAGUAAGCUGAAGAUGAAAAGAAAUUUCAGCAUGACAAUGACCCAAAGCAUAGUCGCAAAUCAUCAAAGGAAUGGCUUAACCAAAAGAAGAUCAGUGUUUUUGAAUGACCGAGCCAGAGCCCAGACCUGAAUCCAACCAAAAAAUUCUGUGGGGUGACCUGAAGCGGGCUGUGCACAUGAGAUGCCCUUACAGUUUGAUGGAUGUGGAAUGUUUUUGCAAGAAAGCGUGGGAAAAUAUUGCUGAGUCAAGAUGUGGCAUGCUGAUAGACUCUUACCCAAAAAAGAGUGAAUGCUGUGAUAAAAUUUAAACUAAGCAUUAGCUUAGGGGUGUGCACACUUACUAUUGCACAUUUAUAUUAUUCAUUUUGUUCCCCCUAAAAUGAUUCUUAUUGUUUUUCGAUUUAAUUUACAGGCUGCAAUUUCACAUUAAAGGUGGGAAAAGAUCUGACAUGAUUGAUCUUGGCUUGUGACUGUGUUUAAAUAUAUAUAUUCAACAACUCUGGAAAAAAAAAUUAAGAGAUCACUGCAAUGUAGGGCAGCCAUUCCAUUCCAGUGUCUGUUGAAUUCCAACUGAUUAGCUGAUCAACUGACUGUGGUCUAUCCUCUUGUAAUUGGACCAGAUGGAUGGCAAAGACAGUGCUAGUAGUACCUCAAAAGUAAUUGGAAUUAAAAAAAUAAUUAUUGAUCAUGCCAAAAGAGUUGAAAAGGAAAGUUUUGAGUGAGGAAAAGAAGGGUUCUGGCAAUUCUGGCUUUACUGGCAGAGGGAUACAGUGAGUGUCGGGUUGCUUCCGUCCUUAAAAUUUCAAAGAUGGUGGUUCAUAAGAACAACGUCAAGCAGCAGACAUUGGGGACAACAAAGCUACAGAGGGUGAAAACGACUCUCCACUGACCGGGAUGACCGCCAACUCAUUCAAAUGUCACUCAUCAACCGUAGGAUGACAUCAAGUGACCUACAAAAAGAAUGGCAAACGGCACCUGGGGUGAAGUGCAUGGUGAGAACGGUUAGAAACGGGCUCCUAGGAGGCAGGAUGAAGUCGUGCAAAGCUAGAAAUAAUGUGCUUCAUCAAUGAUCAGCAAAGAAGAGCCAUGGCUGAAGUUUGCAAAAGAUCACAAGGAUUGGAACGUAGAGGACUGGAGUAAGAUCAUCUUCUCUGAUGAGUCCAAUUUUCAGCUUUGUCCAAUACCUGGUCAUCUAAUGGUUAGACGGAGACCUGGAGAUGCCUACAAGCCACAGUGUCUCACACCAACUGUGACAUUUGGUGGAGGAUCGAUGAUGAUCUGGGGCUGCUUCAGCAAGGCUGGAAUCAGGCAGAUUUGUCUACGCAUGAAUCAAACCACGUACAAGGUUGUCCUGGAAAAACACUUACUUCCUUCUGCUCUGAUAAUGUUCCCCAACUUUCCAGCAGGACAAUGUGCCAUUCUCCACAGCCAGGUCAAGCAAGGUGUGGAUGGAGGACCACCAGAUCAAGACCCUGUCAUGGCCAGCCCAAUCUCCAGAUCUGAACCCCAUUGAAAACCUCUGGAAUGUGAUCAAGAGGAAGAUGGAUGGUCACAAGCCAUCAAACAUAGCCGAGCUGAUUGAAUUUUUGCACCAGGAGUGACUUAAAGUCUCCCAACAUCAAUAUGAAAGACUGGUGUAGAGCAUGCCAAGAUCCAUGAAAGCUGGGAUUGAAAAUCAGGGUUAUUCCAUGAAAUAUUGAUUUCUGGACUCUUCCUAAGUUAAAACAUUAGUAUUGUGUUGCUUAAAAUGAAUCGGAACUUUUCUUUGCAUCAUUCAAGUUCUGAAAACACCGCAUCUUUUUGUUGUUGUUGUUGUUGUUGUUAUC